CUAGUGUUAGUAAUAAUCUCCCUAUCAGUGGAGAUGGAGCUGUCAUUACAGUACCUCUAGGCUCCUAUUUAUACUACAGCAACAUUUACUUGUAAAGGAACUUGAGAUAUACUGAACUGGCUGGUAUGAGGUGAUGUACUAACUGACUUCAAUAAACAAGAAAGACAAAUAACAGUUACUACCACCAGCUACCACUAAUGCUGUUAAUAAUACUAACUUCUCAUCAGUACUGACAGUUAAUGCUAUACCUUCUUGUAUUGAUGGACUGGCAUUUAGCUGUGAAGUUAUUUCUUUCAGUCCAUAUGAACGUGCUAUAUCAAGUGAUGUACUAAUUGUCAGAGGUAUCACCGGUGGAAGAUAUUCAGUAUAGUUUUAGAAGACUAACAAUGAACACCUUGCUCAGUUUGGAGCUGCAUGGCCGGAGGAGAUGAGGACACUGAGUUUUGUUGGUAUAGCACAAGUGAUCAGUAAUGAACAGAAGACUUGAUUAAAAAGAACCAUAAAAUCAUGAUGGAGGGUAUCAGUAAUG